rnacentral:lncRNA from 1 species
UGAACGUGUACAGGGGAGCCAAAGUGACCAGAGGGAGCCUUCAGCACGGAAUCCCAUAUGCUGCCAGGUCCCAGAGUCUGGCUCCUAUUACCAGUACACAAGACCUAUCAAAACCUGGCUCUAGGCCCCCGGGGACUGGCAGACAUCUUCAGGGCACAGUGCCAAAUGUGUUCAUGAAGACAGUAACAUUCCUCUCAUCAUUUUCUCCAGAACUUUGGUGCUUUGAGUCAAAGGUUGACAUAAAGCUUUCAAAACAAAUGUGACUUCCCUGAAGUGACCAGCGACCGCAGUCGUGGCAGGAUUAUGCAGAACUGGAGUGGGCUGAAUGAUUGGAAAGACAGCCUGUCUGCUGGUUACCUAAAAUAACAUCGUUGGUGGAUAUCAGCAAAUCACACAUGGUCGAGAUGGGGAGACUGACAGUCAGCCUCUGGCAAGGUUUCCCUGUGACUUGGGGUUUGAGAGUCUCUGGAGGCUGUGGGAAGACAGAAGCAGAUACUGACUCAGUUCCUGCCCAGAACAAUAGUUGAGCGUAUGUGUGUGCAUAGGUGUGUGUGUAUUUGGUGUCCAGAUAUGCACUGUAUGUGUAUAUGUACAUUUAUGUGUGGUCUGUGUGUGUGCUGGGAGUAGUAUAAGUGUGGAGGGUGGUGUGUGUAUGUUUCUGCCCUGUGUGCCAUGGCUGUGGUGUGUAGGUGUGGUUGUGUGUGUAUUUGCCUCUGUGUGUGCGUGUGUUAUGAAGGUGCUGAGGCAAACAUUCUGCAUGAGACUGAGAAGAUGGUGACCAGGAGAGAAAAGAAUGGAGGCGACUCUCUCUUAGCCAAGCCCUUGAAGUGCAUUGGACAUGUUCAUCCCAGGGGGCCGAGUGAACAGGAGACUGACUGGGCCACCGAGCAACUGAUAGCACCUAGCAAUGGUCCCUCUUGGUUGGGAAGGCUCCUCGCCUCUGCAGGGUAGGAAGAGAAGUAUAUUCCAAAGAAAAUUUGACAGAAAGGAGAGAAAGGGCUCUCCGGCUUCCUUUGCAGUUUAUGCACAGCUUUUAGUUUGUACAAUUUUUUUUCAGUAUAGCUCUGUGCCAAAAGAGCUGGCUCAGUUGAGCAUGUGGAGGAAAAUUCAUGGCCUGAGUCAGUCCCAGGCCACAUCAAACAAAGCAAGGCAUUUUUGUCCUUCCUGGCAGGGACAGCAGCAGGGAGAUUAUAAAGGAUUUUGGUCAAGGGAGUGUCGUAAUGAAUAUCCUGUUCUAGGAGCCCUGAGGCUCUGGAUGGAUUGGAGGAGAGACAAUGAACGCCUUGCCCUAAGUCACAGCCCUGUUGCUCUCUGGUUGAGUGUCGGCAGAGCCCCAGAUGGAUUUACUGGUCAGUGCAGGUCAUUGGAAUGGUGGUCUCACUGCAGACUUCCUGGCUUCCUGUGCAGAGCUCUUUCCACCACCCCAGCUAACAGGAUCUGUGGUCUCCUCUAUCUCUGUGGUGCCUUCAGAAUCUCGUGUUUCACCUGGGUCUGGAGAAGUGCUCUGUCUGACCAAUAUGUCACAGGCUCUUCAGACACCAGGUCUGAGGGUUUGGACAAGCCCUGCUCCUUGCAAGGGAGCUUAAUGGGACUUGACAUAAAAGCUGCCCACAACGACAUUUUGAGUUUACUGAGCAGAAACUGAGAUCCACUUGCAAAAUUACUUUAAGGGCUGAAUUGGAUGGGCCUCAUACUCCACUUUCAGAAAAUCCUUUCAUAAAUGAUUAACUAAUGACACAAAAUGAAAAUGUUGCCAGUUGGCUGUUGACCACAUGGUGCAAAUUGCCUCUCCAGCUUGAAGGUCACCAGUGUCUCCAUUAACAUUUGGGACAUGGAUAUCCUAAGUUUGACCUUGGAACAUUUGAGGAAAUAGCCUGAUUUUUAAACGAUAUUUUUUAUUGAGGUAUAAUUUCUAUAGAGAGAAAUGCUCAGCUCUAACCUACAGAGUUUGAUGAAUUUUGACAAAUUUACACGAGUGUAACCACCAUCCCAAUCAAGACAAAACAUUUCCAUCACCUAAAAAGUUCCCUUUUGCCCUUUUUCAGUCAAUCCCAACUGUUCUGACUUCGAUCAUCAUAGAUUGUUUUUGACUUUUCUAGAGUGUCUGUUAUGGACUGAAUGUUUGUAUCCCUUCGAAAUUCAUAUGUUGAAACCUUAACCCUCCAGUGUAAUGGUGUUAGGAGGUAGGGCCUUUGGGAGGUGAUUAGGCCAUGAGGGUGGAGCCCUCAUGAAUGGGGUUAGUGCUCUUCUAAGAGGGAUCCCAGAGAGAGCCCUUACCCCUUCUGCCAAGUGAGGCCGCAGUGAGAAGAUGGCCAUUUAUGAACCAGGAAGCGGGACCUCAACAGACACUGAAUCUGCUGUCUCCUUGAUCUUGGACUUCCCAGCCUCCAGAAAUAUAAGAACGAAAUUCCUGUUGUUUAUAAAUCCUCCAGUCUAUGGUAUUCUGUUAGAGCAGCCCAAACUAGGACCGUGUCAUAUAAAUGGAGUCAUACAGGAUAUAGCCUUUUGUGUCUGGUUUCCUUCACUGAGCAAAAUAUUUGUGAGAUUCAUCCAUGUUGUUGUGUAUAUGGGUGGUCCCUUCCUUUCUAUUGCUGAAGAGUUUUCCAUUGUAUGUAUAUUCCACAGUUUGUUUAUCCAUUCAUCUGUUGAGGGACAUUUGGGUUUUUCCAGUUUGUAGCAGUUAAGGAUAAAGCUGCUUUGAACGUUUAUGUACCAGUCUUCGUGUGAGGUAGGUAGAAACUACAUAUGUCUAGGGUAAAAACACCUAGGAGUAGAAUUCCUGGGUCGUAAGAUAGGUGUAUGUCUAACUUUAUAAGAAACUUGUGGCUUGUUUUUUGUGUCACCUUCCUGAAAGGAUGUUCAGAAGUCAGCGUGCAAAGCCCACACCAAAACAACCUCCACAGGGAGAAGGUGGUAACAGAGGGUUGACAGCUUUUAUUGCAAAAAACUGUUUUAACCAAUUCCUGAAUUAACCAACUCCUGAGUCGUUUUUAUAAUUGGUGCUAACUUUGGUCUGUACCCAAGAAAAUGCUCAUUCACAUUAGUAACGGAAGCAGACUAAGCGGGGCAACAAGGAAGCAGACUAAGCGGGGCAACAAUACUGAAAAGCGCAGAAGGUUAUUUACGCCAAAAGGUUGACCACACCUUUCGGAAUUUUGCCUUAAGCUCAAGCAAUUACAGUUUAGCAGGGUGUUUAUUGAGAAAGUAAACUGUGGAAAGGUCACCCUUUGAAAAGCUAAUCUGAGUCCCGAAUUUUCACUGCUGUAGACUCCGUUUUAUCCAGGAAAGAUAAACAGGCUAUUCUGUGACUCUAGGGCCUGGCUGUCUGGGCCUUCACCCUCUGUUAGAUGUAUCAUCAAGCCGUAUUGCACAAGAAAGCAGCAUGAGAAAGCUUUUGUGUUUGGCAGACUAAACAGGGGCAAGGGGUCUGACCCUGGCUGGACCUGUGGGGAACUGGAGCAAAGGGGUCUGACCACAGUUAUGUGGAGGACCCCAGAACCCCUUGGAAAUGCUGCUUCCCUUGGCAAGACCUCAGAGGAAAUGGCUACCGGGUGGCUGGUGAGGCCAGGAACUAGGAAUUAUGGCCUAGAAAGCUCAUGCGAGAGGCUGGACUGGCACAGCCUCCCCACCUGGAAAGUGGGGCCAUCAGAAGUGGAAGCUAGAGCGGGGGCCUGCCGCCGUGGAACAGGAGCAUCGGCAGGCUGCUGGCACGUCUCGGGGGACCAAAACCACUGACGCUGCAUUUCCUGGCAGUGUUAGUUGUCCUCUCUCGUAGGAUGAAUCGUUGUCACCAUUCCUCAGACGCUUCCUGUCUUAGAAUUUUACACUCACGCCCUUUGCCAUGUGACUCUGCAGGCUCCCCAUUAGCGUGAGUGGAGGAGACCUCCUGCCACUGGUGCUGGCACGGCCAUGUGGCUUGUUUAGUCAGUGGGGUGUGGGCAGGAGUGAAUCAAGAGGCCUCAGGAGGCAUCGUGUGUCUCUGCCUAACUUUCUGUGGUUUGUUAUGCAGGAUUAUCAUAGCAUUUGCUCACUGACAUUUACACUAAUAAUGUUUCCUCCUGUUUCAUAAUAAUUCAAAUAGCAAUUUUUAACUGGCUGUUUUUAAUAAGACUGACUUUCCCAGCCUUCCUUGCAGCUAGGUGUGACCAUGUAACUAUUCUGGUCAAUGAGAGGUUAGUAGAAAUGUUGUGUGGCAGCAUUUCUGAGACCUUUCUUAAAGGCCUGUGGCACGCAAUGUUCACCACUUCCUGCAUCCUGCUAUCUGGAACAAAGAUAUGAUGGCUGGAGCUCUGGCUGACGUUUGGAUCCUGAGAAAGAAGGCCAUGUGCUAGGGAAGAUGGAGCAGUGAGCUGCCGGGGCUCUUCUAUGAGAGACAAAUAAACUGUGUUCUUUAAGCCUCUUGAUCUUUAAAAUUCCCCUGCUGAGCUUACUCCAGACACAGUUCUCAAGCCAAUUUUUAUAAAUCUGAUAAAUAACUGUGAUUUUACUUAGAAGUAGACUAGUGUGCAGCAAUGAUCCACUGUUACUACUAAUCAGCUGUUUGGUACUAAUCCAAAUGGGAACAGCACUUAACAGUUUAAAAAUAAAUCUCUCGGGAGGGAGAAUGGGGAGCGACUGGUAACAGGUACGGGUUCUGUUGGGGGCAAUAAAAAUGUCCUAAUAUGAGAUAGUGGUGGAGGUCGGACAACUCUGUGAGUAUAUGGAAAACAAUAGCAGGGUGUACUUUUAGAGGGUGAAUUUUACGGUAUGUGAAUUGUAUCUCAAUGAACUGUUAAAAAACUGAUCACCUGUUCAUUGUUUACACCGUUGUGAGGCGGGUGCAGUGUUUUCCCCUGCACCACAGCACAGGAAACUGAGGCUCAGGGAGCUUACGCGGCCCUCCCAGUUCACUCACCUCGUGAGUGUCAGAGACAAGAGGGGAACUCGGGUCUCCUGACACCAGUGCCUGUGCUUCCUCCACUCUCUCCAGCGUGUUUGCACCUCCGUCUCGGGGCCGCAGGAACCUGGACUCAGGGACUAUUUAGACAACACUGAGUUGGAGGUAAAGCUUGUUUUCAGCUCUCCAUUUUAGCACCUUCUCCUCUGGCACCCGCUUCCUUCUAGUCACCCUCUCUUAUAUGCCGAGUACCCUGGUUGUUCAGGGUCCCCGCCCACUCUGGUUUACAAGUAUUCUUGCCAGGAAAUAUAAAAAGAUAUUUGACUGAUAUAAAUCAACAUAUAACACAAUCGCAAGUAGCUUUGCACACGUUGCCAGCAACACUAACUCUCACGUGCCCUCCCCGACACUUAGGGUGGCUAGAGGUUUGGGACAUCUUCCUUUUGGCCUCCAUGAUCUGGAGGACUUCCAGUUGACAGCAACACACAUUUAUGGGAGGUCUGCUAUGAACCAGCGAUUUUGAUGGAUGUUUAGAUGCAUUCUUCCUUCAGCUUCCCAACGAUCCAGAGAAUCUGUGCUUUGAUGAGCCCAUGUUACAGAUAAGGAAACCACAGCUCAGAAAGCUUAGGUGACCUACCCAAGGUCCUGCAGAUGGUGAGUGACCAAGUCAGACUUCGCACCCGGGUCUCCUAGUUCUGAGCCCCGCAUUCUUUUCCUUAUUUCGUACACGCGUUUGUUCCUUAGUAUCCCCCAUGGGGUCCACCACAGGUCUGGAGCAGAAGAGGAGUUCCAGAAGGGAAUGAAAAAGAAAUAAAUGAAAGCCAGCCUUUGCCAGCUUACUCAAAGGCUUUUUUCCCUUAAGCAAGAUUUAUAAAUCAGCCCUCAACCCCAGCACAUGCAUGCACGAGAGCGAGACUCACUCUGGGGUUUUCAUUUCCAAAAGAAGACUACCAACUGCUCUGGAUUGAUGACACCGUUUGGGCGUAAAAUGGGCAGAAGGAGGACGGUAGGAAGAAAAGCAGGAGAGAUGUUGCUGCCUCUUCUCAGAGGUAACACGAGCUGCCUAAACCUCUGCUGAGGAGAUAGAAGGCAAGCAUCCUGGGAGAGGAACCCCUUGGGAGAGUUUGAAGGAGACUGAGUGUCAAGGAAACCCGCAAACUACAGCAGGAAAGGCAAGGUUGGAAAAGGCACAGGCUGGAAAGAUGCAGAAAGUCUCUCGCAAAACUAACCUAUCAUUUAAUGCCAUUUAUAUAUCUUUCCUUUUUUCAGCAUGGAUUGCGGCUAGCUGGACACUGGGCCCUCCGCUGGCACUGUGGUCACUGCUGGCCCCAGUGCCACCAAUGCCACAGGACACUGGAUGCCAUAGCCACCAACUCCACCAGAAGGAGUUCCGAUUAUGUUGUUCAGUCUGGAUUUAGAAGUCUCAGGAUACAAACCAGGACCAACCAGGACCAAUCAGGACCAAUCAGGAAAAGUCUGGAAGGGUCCCAAACUUGGAACUUCUGUGUCCUCUCCACAUGGAACCCAGGGCGCACUCGACCCUCUCAGCGCAUCAAUGUGUUCACCUGCCAGGAAGUUCACCCAAGCCUCAGUGUCCAGAGUUUUUCUUGGGGUUUCAUUACAUAAGCAUGGUUAACUGAAUCCCUGGCCAUGUGAUUGAACUCAGUCUUUCUCAGUUGAACCCACCCCUCUGGACUGAUAUCACGUGGCUCAAAGCCCCAACUCUCUAAGCACAUGGUUGAUCUUUCUGACAUUGCCAGCCCCCAUCCUGAAUCUAUCUAGGACCCACCAGGAGUCACCUCAGUAGCAUAAACUCAAGUGUGUUCCCGGGGGCCCACUGUGAAUAACAAAUCCCAAGAGUUUAGAAGCUUCAUCCCAGGAAUCCAGGACAAAGACCAGAUAAAUCAUUAUACAACAAUAUCCCAUAGCAUGGCUGUCACAAGGCUGAAACAUUUAAGCUGGAUCUGACUAAAGGCUAACACUGUGAUGGCUAGAGUUUCCCUUGGAUCCCAACCUGCUGUGAUCUUAGUGACAGCCUAGUGUGCUGUGUGGAGGAUUCUGAAGCCACUUCCAGGAUUAAUUGGAAGGAGGGACAUGAUCAACUAGUCAUGACAGCCCUGGAAUAGAAGGGCAUUGGAAGGGGAGAGUGAGAGUGUGCAUGUGGGGUACUUGCUAACGCUGGGCUAAGGAUUAAAAAAAAAAAGGAAAAACCAUUUGCUGUUUGCUAAUGAAGACUUGCUCUUUAGAACAUGUAAGACCCAUCCCACUUCAGCUCCUGUCCUAAUGCCAUGUAGUGGGUGCCAUGUUUAACCCUUACCACACAAGAGGUCAUGUCUUUUUAUUUCUUCUCCUCAAAAUCUAGACUCAUGAAAGGGAGACUCAGAGAGAGAUGAGCGUGCCUUGGCUGCCCCCUGAAUUCUGGUUUUGAAACUAAGGAAUCAUGUCUACCCCAUGACUGUCCUAGUGAAUACAGGCAUUUUUAGGGGAUAUCAUGUCAACUCACAUGUUGGGUUGAUAGUCAACUGAUACGAACCAUUGGCUAUACCAAUUCUUAAAACAUGGAAACACUUCAUGCUGGUUGGUAAGUGAUGGCUGCUCCCCACUCCUGGAGAGGCCUUCUGCUAUUCUGGCUUUCCUGCCCCUCUCCUGGGACCAGGAGGGCUACAGACAGUGAUUUUCAGAGCUCAGUGCAAAACGAAAAUGCAGGACCGUUUGUUCAAAGUUUAUUAAGAAUGUCAAGAUGGCCACAGCAGAGCAUUCAGCCAAGCACAUCCCUUGACCCCACCAAUGCAGGAGGAGCACAGAGGGUGACCAAGAAAUAAAGCUAUUUUAAGACACUAACGUUGGAGGGUUGACUGUCACUGCAUCAUAACUUGGUGCAUUCUGACUAAUACGCACCAAUGCCCUACAAGUUCUUACGUAUUUUGACUGUCACCCUGCCCAUGUGAUGGUCUCCUUGACACCCAAACAAGACAACCAGAGUUGUUUUCUUGGAGCCUGGCUUGACUAUUAUCGGAAACUCUCAGAAUUACACAAGGCACAACCAUAUUCCCAAACCCUAUUUUUAACAUAUGAACUUUGCCAGUAUAAUGAAACCAACAUUCAGAUAAAAUAGUAAAAGUGUGUUUUUAUAAACUUGUUUUAAUACGUCACCACAAAAUAGAAGGACUUAUGUUUUCAUUGGAUACUUUUCUUAAGGGAGUGCCAAUUUCCUCUCACUGCUCCUGGAUCUGACUGAGGCAGCUCAAGAAGGAGGAAGUCAGGGGAAACAGUGGGUUUAACUUUUAUUGAUUUGUGUAGUUAAUCUCCUUCCUGACCGGUUGGGUGAGCAGAAGAAAAGAACAAAGAAAGGAGGAAUGCUGGCCUCCCAGCAAAGCUCCUCCACCCCCUUUCCAGCUCCUCCCUCUCCUGCUCUACCCCUCGGAGGAGGGGCGCUGAGGAGCGUUCGUCAGCAUCAGCGUCAGUGUUUGGAGGGACUAAAGCGUUCAGGAUUAAAAAAUAAACACAGCCGGAGGUUCAAGGCAGGAAAAAGGGGAAGGGAUGAACAAGCAGAACACAGGAAUUUAGGGCAGUGAAACUAUUCUGUACGGCACUCUAAUAGUGGAUACAUGUCUGUAUAUGUUUGUCAAAACCUAUAGAAUGUACAACAAAGAGUGAUCCCUAAUGUAAACCAUGGGCUUUAAUUAAUAAUAAUGUAUUAAUAUUGGUUCAUCAAUUAUAACGAACGUAACAUUUAUGCGAGAUGUUAAUAAUAGGGGAAACUUGGCGGGGUGAGGGGUUAUAUGGGAACUCUGUGUAUCGUCCACUCAAUUUUUCUGUAAACAUAAAACUGCUCAAACAAAAAUCAAGUCUAUUAAUUUCAAAAGAAGAAUAAUAAAUGCUUAUUAGAGAAAAUGCUCUCCUUCUUGCUUCUUGCUGCUUGUUGUUACUCUUUCUCAGCCAGGCCUCUCCUAACCAAAGGAAAGAUAAAGAAAGAGCGUAUUUUGUUGUGAGCUCAGGAGAAAGGCUAAGAGA